rnacentral:lncRNA from 1 species
AGGAAUACCUUUAAAAAAUAGGGUAUACCAUGGUCCAUGUACUGCUGCUGUGCUCACAAAAGUGAUCAAAAUUUCGAAGAGAGUUGUUCACCGCAUAAAAGCCCCUUAAAAUAACCGAGGCAACAUGAAUAAACCAUUUUUUGAUCCUCGUCCUACUAGAAAAAUCACGCAUUCAUGGUAAUCAAAGAACCCUUGUCCCACAUCAAAUAGCGAGCACCUCUACUAUCUAAACAAGCUAUGUUCCUUUAAUUGGCAUCAAUCCCCACCAUAAUCUCCUCAAAUUUGAUGCCGAAUUAAAGAGAAUAUCUUAAUCUUAAACCAUCAUCCUUGAAUCAAAGAACCCUCGUCGCACAUUAAAUAGCGAGCACCUCUACUAUCUAAACAAGCUAUGUUCCUUUAAUUGGCAUCAAUCCCCACCAAAGUCUCCUCAAAUUUGAUGCCGAAUUAAAGAGAAUAUCUUAAUGUCAAAUCAUCAUCCUUGAAUCAACGAACCCUCGUCGCGCACAUUCAAUAGAGCGCAC